rnacentral:rRNA from 1 species
AAUAUUGGGCAAUGGGGGAAACCCUGACCCAGCAACGCCGCGUGAGGGAAGAAGGCCUUCGGGUUGUAAACCUCUGUCGCAGGGGACGAAAAAAAUGACGGUACCCUGUGAGGAAGCCCCGGCUAACUACGAGCCAGCAGCCGCGGUAAUACGUAGGGGUCGAGCGUUGUCCGGAAUUACUGGGCGUAAAGGUUGCGUAGGUGGCUAUUUAAGUUGGAUGUGAAAUACCCGGGCUUAACCUGGGGGGUGCAUUCAAAACUGGAUGGCUAGAGUGCAGGAGAGGGAAGCGGAAUUCCUAGUGUAGCGGUGAAAUGCGUAGAUAUUAGGAGGAACACCAGUGGCGAAGGCGGCUUUCUGGAUUGUAACUGACACUGAGGCACGAAAGCGUGGGGAGCAAACAGG